AUAUGUUCAACGGCCGCGGUAUCCUGACCGUGCAAAGGUAGCAUAAUCAUUUGCCUUUUAAUUGGAGGCUAGUAUGAAUGGGUAGACGUAGAUUCAGCUGUUUCUAUAUUAUAAAUAAAACUUAAACUUUAGGUGAAGAUGCCUAAAUAUCAUAGAAAGACAAGAAGACCCUAUAGAGUUUUAGUUAAACAUACUUUACAAUCGUAUAAUAACUUUGGUUGGGGCGACCUAGGAUUUUUAUAAACAUCCUUUUAAUUUACGAUCCUUAAAUCUUUACAUUAGACCCUUAAACGGAUUAUUAAAAAUAACUACCUUAGGGAUAACAGGCUUAUCUUCCUAGAGAGCUCUUAUUGAUAGGAUGGUUUG
rnacentral:rRNA from 1 species